rnacentral:rRNA from 1 species
UAGAGUUUGAUCCUGGCUCAGGACGAACGCUGGCGGCGUGCCUAACACAUGCAAGUCGAGCGAUUCAGGAGUCGGAAAUCCGACUUCUGGAUAGCGGCGGACGGGUGAGUAACACGUGGGCAAUCUGCCCUUCAGACGGGGAUAACACACCGAAAGGGGUGCUAAUACCGGAUACGGUCAUAAGAUGGCAUCAUCAUAUGAAGAAAGGAGGAAUCCGCUGAAGGAUGAGCCCGCGGCCCAUUAGCUAGUUGGUGAGGGUAAGAGCCCACCAAGGCGACGAUGGGUAGCCGGCCUGAGAGGGUGACCGGCCACACUGGAACUGAGAGACGGUCCAGACUCCUACGGGAGGCAGCAGUGGGGAAUAUUGCGCAAUGGAGGAAACUCUGAUGCAGUGACGCCGCGUGAGUGAAGAAGGCCAUCGGGUCGUAAAGCUCUGUCCUAGGGGAAGAUAAUGACGGUACCCUAGGAGGAAGCCCCGGCUAACUACGUGCCAGCCGCCGCGGUAAUACA